UACGGAGGGUGCAAGCGUUGUUCGGAAUUAUUGGGCGUAAAGCGCGCGCAGGCGGUCUGGAAAGUCUAUGGGUGAAAUGCCGGGGCUCAACCCCGUGCAUGCCCAGGAUACUGUCAGACUGGAGACACGUAGAGGCAAGCGGAAUUUCGGGUGUAGCGGUGGAAUGCGUAGAUAUCCGAAAGAACACCGGAGGCGAAGGCGGCUUGCUGGGCGUGAUCUGACGCUGAGGCGCGAAAGCGUGGGGAGCAAACAGG
rnacentral:rRNA from 1 species